CAAGGAAUAUAGUUUUUUAAAGCAUUCCGAAAUUCUGGCGCUCUACCGGCCAGGCGGCAAUCUGCGAGACUACGUUAGUGUUUGCUGUCGCGUAGUGCUUGCGCGCGUUCUAAACUCCGAUUUCCCGCAACUGUCUUUUUUACCGGAAAAUUAAGUGUCAACAUCAGUUAUCAAGUGCAGAAGUCGCGAUGAUAGUUCACCAAUAGAUUAAAGGUGAGUGUCCCUCUGUUUAAGUGUGUCAUUUAUCGGAUCGAGUAUUGUCACAUGUGCAAUGCCACGACGGUAACACUUUAAGCAUUUGGCUCGCUUUCAAGAGGAGUUUGAACAUGUUUGGCGCAAGAUCACCUUCUAUCGAUUAUUUACUCUUGUUUAGUCCGGAAUAAGCUAAGUUCAAGAAUACUUCAAAUUUCCAAACUCGAUUUUUUCGAACACGAAGCGUCAUAUGGAAAAAUUUUGUUGUAUAUUCUUUACUCGCACUAGUUUGUUAAUACUCUGCAUAUAGUUCAAGGUGUACCAAAUUUAUUAGAAUAAUGUAUACUUCACAAUAGAUAUAGAUAUUACAUAAAUCAGAAACGCAAGAAAACUUUCAUAAUUUAAGAAAAGUAGGUCAUCAUAACGCUAUAAAUAUCUCAAUUUCUCUAUAUUGUAGAAUAUAAAUAAAGGAGGAGAUAGAAACGAAAAAAAUAAUAAGAAAAUCCUUUGAUUUCAUUUACAUAAUGUGAAAAUGUUAAAAAAUGAAUUCCAUGGAAAAUGAUUAAAAAGAAAUAACAAAGGUUAUGUUGUAUCAACAUAAAGUUGAUUCUUAAUAGAUUAAUCAGACAUUUAGUUUGGGUACUAACAAAUUUAUUUAUGAUAGAUAGCAUGUUAUUUUACACAUCAAAACGCAAUUAGUUUAAUAAUAAAAGUUAUUGUACGUUAUACAUAUUUAGAUCUGUAGAAUAUAAGAUUUCGUGGGGCAUGCAAAUACAUGAACAAAAAUUCGUUUUAUAUGUUAAUUCCUACAUAUUAAGAAUAAGAUGAAGCAUCUUCGAUUUGUAUUAAAUUGUUUUAUUCUAUUGUAUCAGUCGUUAUAAAUCAGUAAUUUUAAAAUAUAUCACAAUAUGUGUAAUUGACUUCUGCAA
rnacentral:lncRNA from 1 species